rnacentral:snoRNA from 1 species
GGUGAAAAUGAUGAAUUCUGGGGUACUGAUUCAUAUGAUCUGAAAAAGCCAUCCAUUUCCUGAUUCACC